AAAGGUUUUUAAUACCGAUUUUAGAUUUUUUGGAGUAUUUUAAGGUAUGUAAAGUGUGUUUUAAUCUCUGAAGAAAAAUUCAGAAAACCUGGAGACUACCAGUAGGUGCAAUAGAAAUUUUGGUAUUUCAGACACCGAAUCGGGUAAGAAUCUCUUACUUUAUUCUCUGUUAUGGGAUUAAAGCUUAAUAAUCGAUAAUAUGCUAUUUUGUGUAAUUUAGAAAAUUUUGAGAAUAAUUACAG
rnacentral:lncRNA from 1 species